CCUACGGGCGGCAGCAGUGGGGAAUAUUGGACAAUGGGCGAAAGCCUGAUCCAGCCAUGCCGCGUGUGUGAAGAAGGCCUUCGGGUUGUAAAGCACUUUCAGUGGGGAAGAAAGCCUUGGGGCUAAUACCCUCGAGGAAGGACAUCACCCACAGAAGAAGCACCGGCUAACUCCGUGCCAGCAGCCGCGGUAAUACGGAGGGUGCGAGCGUUAAUCGGAAUUACUGGGCGUAAAGCGCGCGUAGGCGGUCUGAUAAGCCGGUUGUGAAAGCCCCGGGCUCAACCUGGGAACGGCAGCCGGAACUGUCAGGCUAGAGUGCAGGAGAGGAAGGUAGAAUUCCCGGUGUAGCGGUGAAAUGCGUAGAGAUCGGGAGGAAUACCAGUGGCGAAGGCGGCCUUCUGGACUGACACUGACGCUGAGGUGCGAAAGCGUGGGUAGCAAACAGGAUUAGAUACCCCAGUAGUC
rnacentral:rRNA from 1 species